rnacentral:rRNA from 1 species
CCAGACUCCUACGGGAGGCAGCAGUGGGGAAUAUUGGACAAUGGACCAAGAGUCUGAUCCAGCAAUUCUGUGUGCACGAUGACGUUUUUCGGAAUGUAAAGUGCUUUCAGUUGGGAAGAAAAAAAUGACGGUACCAACAGAAGAAGUGACGGCUAAAUACGUGCCAGCAGCCGCGGUAAUACGUAUGUCACAAGCGUUAUCCGGAUUUAUUGGGCGUAAAGCGCGUCUAGGUGGUUAUGUAAGUCUGAUGUGAAAAUGCAGGGCUCAACUCUGUAUUGCGUUGGAAACUGUGUAACUAGAGUACUGGAGAGGUAAGCGGAACUACAAGUGUAGAGGUGAAAUUCGUAGAUAUUUGUAGGAAUGCCGAUGGGGAAGCCAGCUUACUGGACAGAUACUGACGCUGAAGCGCGAAAGCGUGGGUAGCAAACAGGAUUAGAUACCCUGGUAGUCCACGCUGUAAACGAUGAUUACUAGGUGUUGGGGGUCGAACCUCAGCGCCCAAGCAAACGCGAUAAGUAAUCCGCCUGGGGAGUACGUACGCAAGUAUGAAACUCAAAGGAAUUGACGGGGGCCCGCACAAG